rnacentral:rRNA from 1 species
GACGAGGGAUCCUAGCGUUGCUCGGAAUCAUUGGGCGUAAAGCGGGUGUAGGUGGCUUGGUAAGUCAGAUGUGAAAGCCCAGGGCUUAACCCUGGAAGUGCAUUUGAUACUGCUGAGCUUGAGUGCCAGAGAGGUUAAUAGAAUACCUGGUGUAGUGGUGAAAUACGUAGAUAUCAGGUGGAACACCGGUGGCGAAGGCGGCCCACUGGCUCGAUACUGACGCUGAGGAGCGAAAGCGUGGGGAGCGAACAGG